rfam:Williamsia sp. Leaf354 contig_3, whole genome shotgun sequence.
GGGGCUGAACGGUUUCGACUUGGUUCAUCUAAGUAGGGGAAGCGUGUCGGUGCAGGCGAGAGACCACCGUGAGCGUCAUCGCAACCAAUUAAGCGCCGAUUCCAAUCAGCGCGACUACGCCCUCGCCGCCUGAGCGAGUGCUGGUCUGUCGGCCCGGGUGUGCUCCCGCCCCGGGUACCGGCAUCAUCAAGGGGGCUCACCGUCCGGCUCGGUCGCGGAGUCGGACGGGACAACCAACAGCGACUGGGAUCGUCAUCUCGGCUUGUUCGCGGGACCGAGAGAUCCGAGUAGAGACGUAGCGAACUGCACACGGAGAAGCCCUACUGACAUGACGAAGGACCCGGGUUCGAUUCCCGGCAGCUCCACCA